GCUCACAGGCUGGGCGUCCUCUCGGCAGCUCCGGAGAUGACGGUGAGCAGGUUGUUGCCGAAGGGGUCGCUGAGGUGCGCAGAGAGGUUCUCAACGGGGCCCUCGCCAGUGACGUAUGCCUGGAUGAAGAAACCCAGCAUGGAGAACAUGGCUAGCCGGCCGUUCUUGAUCUCCUUCACCUUGAGCAGCGCCGCCUGGUCGGGGUCGCUGGCGAGGCCGAGCGGGUCGAAUGGGCCACCGGGGUGGAGCUUGUCCUCAAGAUCCUGCCGGAGAAAUUGAUGAAAACCGUUGGUCAGUACAAAGUUCCUAAUUGCAGCUCAACUUAUGUAUAUGUUUGAGGUGUUACUGUCACUGACAAGGCCGUUGAUGAUCCUGUAGUACUCGGCGCCUCCGACGAGGACAACCUCGGCGACGACGGCGAGGAUGAGGUUGAUGGGGAUGCUGUUGCCGAAGUAGUUGAGGGUGUUGCCGUCCAGGAGAAGAGCGCCGGUCUGCAUAUGUGUUUGUUCAUGGCACCGUGAGUUUAAACUUCAGAGUUCUGAAUCUGAAUCUGAAUGUGUGAAUACUGAUGAGCAAUUACCUUGAACCAGACGGCCUCGGGACCGCAGUUGGCGCCGAACUUGUUGCACGCCUCGGGGAUGAUGAAGCCGGCAGCGCCGAGCAUGGCCCAUCUGGCAUGGAUCAGCUCAUAGGCCUGGUACCUGAAGAAUAAGGUGUGGGAAAGGAUUACUUAGUUGAUAGAAUAUUUUGUUUAGAGUGAGACCGUAGGUUAACAAUUUUAGGUCUGUAUUUGCAAAAUGCAGAUCACUACUUACUUGGUGAAGUCAUCUGGCUUCUUGCUCAGACCGAAAGGAUCAUAGCCAUAGCUGAAAGUCCAAAGGGAAACAAAUAGGUCAGUUCAGUUGCAUAUAUAAUCUUAGUCUCUUAGUUUUGCAUGAGCAUUUCAGUAAUAUGAGCAGUGAGGCAAUGCUGCAAAGGGAAGACAACUUUAAUUCAAAUAGUCUGAAAGAUUCGAGAAAACAGUGGCAUUUCCACAAAGAUGAAAACUAAUUUAUGCUACACUGCUCACUACAGAACUAGCAAAAUAGGUACGAGUACCAUAUCCAUAUAAAUUUGCCGUAGUACUAAAUUACUACUACAGUUCAAAGGAUGGUUAAAUUGUGGAGGGUAAAAAUGGAAGCAUAUGACUUACUCUCCAGGAACCUCUCCGUUGAGGUACUCUGGCACCUCUGACCGGUCAAGGAGACCGUCCGGCAAGAAGAUCCUCCUGUCAGGGCCUGAAAACAAGAUUAAAAAAAUAGUACUUAGGUAUGUAUGAAUUUUCAGAACAAAUUAAUUACCUGAAAUGUGUUCAAUCUCAUAUGGAAGUUUUCUUUGUACUCACCAUACCACUUGGCGAGCUCGUCGUCGAUGUCUGCGCCCGAGGAGGAUACUGGGGCGGGCUUCGGCUUCGCAGCGGGCUUUUUGUUGAAGCCCCCGAAGAGGGAGACAAUCUUCUUCGCCCCAGCGGUCGGUGCCGCCGUGGUGUAGCUGGAGGAGCCGGUGAAGUUGAGCCGGGUGCCCAGCAUCUUCGUGGGAGCGAGCGCCGCCAUUACCUCAGGCCCAAAGUUCACAGAGAGGUGUGCUCAGCUCAGCAGGAAAGGUGUGAUGGGCGUUUGUGGAGGGAAAGGUGGGGUAGUUUAAAUGGAUGGAAAUGAGGAUUGGAGGAUGUUGUGGGCCCAGGCAAGAUUGGGCCAAAGGGGUUGUGAUUGGCUGUGUGUUCAGGAGGGCUAUCUGUUGCUUGGAUUUGAUUGGCCUGCCUUUGCUGACUUGGCAGAUGAGGGUGCUGGUGUGGCUCCAUUAGAGCCUCUUGUUAUCUCGUUUAUCAAGAGCCAGGCGGUACUAAAUGGUCCAAAUGCCAUAGAUAGAGACACAGGGAGAACGGAGAACCAAGGAUAGAGAGAGAGCGAACACAACAUUUUCAAGCAACAUACCCACCCCUGAGUUUCCACACACCACCCCUGAGUUUCAUCAGAACUUCAUAACAUCAAAUUAUGCUGGAAUUUAACAUCUGAGACGAGCAACACAAAUAACGGGACAUAAGCCAACAUGUACACCUAGCACAAUAGUGUUCAUCGGUCUGACAUUUUUUUUCUAACUACCAGAAUGUUAACACUUGAAGAAUUUUAAGCAUUAACACUAAUAGAAUUUCAGGAUCCUACUUAAAUACUCCCUCCGUUCCUAAAUACUUGUCGCUGUUUUAGUGCAAAAGCAAGUUUGUACUAAAACAGCGACAAGUAUUUAGGAACGGAGGGAGUACAAGUCUAUCUAGUGACGGACUGAUCAACAUUCAAAAUAAGAAAUUACAGUGUGAUACAAUAGAUGUGGCUAAAGGUCAGCUGCUAAUCCACAUCAAUGGCAUACUGUUUGUAAUCCUUGACCAAUACCAGAUCUUGACAGCUAACAGCGGCAGCCAUAUGGUGGUGCAGCCGAUGCUCAACUCUUCACAGCUCACAGCAGCAGUCAUUUGGCAGUGGAGCUCAACGCCAUUUUUCAAUAUGUUUUGAAGUUGCGCUCGCAAGCCUUUUGGUGUUUACAACCAGCUCGUCAAACAAAGCAGCAACAUUCUCCCUGGAACAGAGAGAGGAGGAAAGGAUGAGCAACAUUGAGUAGAAAUAUGCAUGUUUAUUUUGCAUGCAGAUUGAGUAAGUUAUGUCCCAAGGGUGCCAAACAAGAAAUAAGGUGGAGAAAGCCAUAAGCCAGUAACUUGACAAAUUUCACGGUGACAAGAAAUGAUAGAGUUGUGCAAAAGCGAGAAUAUAUGUAGUUGUCCUCUCAGCACAAACUAGAGAACUGCUUAGAUGUUCUAGAUUUUGAAGUAUGUUAGCAUGACAUAUCUUAUGCUCUGUACUACAGAGCUUUCAGAAAAAUAUAUUAGCCUGACAUUAUACUGCAGCCAAACGUAUACACAUUUAACUGCGAGGAACGAGUACUGUUUGGGAAUAUGCUGACAAAGAAAACUGAUUAAAAUAAUAGGAGAAGAAUUGCAGUUUAUGCUCUACAGAAAACAAUCUGACACAACUGGCAUUAGAGUACAGCUCAGGUUUAUGAAAAUUCUGAAAUGAACACUCACAAAUCUGUUUCUGCACCAUGCGAUCAGCUUUUUUUAAUUUGAAACACACAUACUGUCAGAAAUAGAAUUUGUAACAAAAUAUGGUAUUCCAGUUUAAGUCAGGAGUCAGGAAUGAGUUACUAGUACUAUUUUUUUUUGUGGAAGUAGUUACUGUUAGAACUAUACUGUACGGACACUAUGUGCACACGACAUACUAGAACGUCACUUCAAAUAUCUCACUAUCUACUGUUAACAUCCUGAUAGAAACAAGGUUUUAGAAAAACUGCACUGGACUUUUUUAGAAAACUCAUGAAGGGGCUAGGUUUUAUGAAUUCUCAAAGAGACUCACGAUUUUCACUAAGUUUCAUUAUUGCACAUAAAAUUAUUAUUUCGUGAUGUUCAGUGAGAAACAUUUUUCUCUGAUUUUCUAUGGGUCGCACUUUACAUAGUUAUUUUCACUUAAUCCAAGUGUUUAAGUUUUCAAGUGUUACAUGUAUAUAGUAUGUGUACAGUUAAUUAGUUUGGAUGUGAAAUGUUGCAGUACAGUAGUUUGGACUAACUAAUAAGGUCAUAUCACGUCUAAUGCCCAAUGUGUAAAAAGAUGGUGCUUAAGCUAAUUGAUUGGGCUCUGGUAUGGAUUGAUUGCUCGGUUUCUUUUCUUUUGUUGCCUUUGGUAAUCGAAUACUGAAGCAGGAUCUUCUUCUGCAAUUCUCCAGUCAUACCGCCAAUCAUCUAGUUUGGAUAACUAUGUGGGAAUGCUUCAUGUGACUAUGUGAGCUCGUCUGUUACUUCAAAGCAUAAACAAUAUUGCCUAAGGUUCUUCCUCCAAUCUCAAUUGGUCAUCUGUGUGAUUUAAUGCACAAGUCAAUGUUCCCUAGCAUUUUUACGGACUGUGUAGAUUGUUAAUUUCAAAAAUUAGUAUUACAAUAUUUGCACCUUACCCUUGCCAUCCAGAUAGCUCAUCUUGCAAAUUUAAUGACAUGAGCAACGAUAAAUAGAGUAAAACCCCAAAGUUAUUGAACAUAUCUUACAAUGUUAGCAAUCCAGCAUAGCAUGCAUAAAACUGUCUGUUAGCACAAAUGUCACUAAAUACUUUCAUGCCCACACAAUACUUACGUAGGCAGAUUUGGAGCUUCUUGGAACAUUCUGCCAACAUUUGAGUGCCUUUUCUUUUCGUCAUAGGCAAUCCCUUUGCCCAAGCCGUAACCAAAACCAAAUCCUAUACCACAUCCAGCUCCAACUCCAAAGCCUAAAGUGAGUCCAGGAAAUCCAUAACCUAAUCCUGAACCUGCAUUAUUCAUGCAACAUAUAAAGUUAUACAUCAUUUAUUACAGAAGUUAACACAAAAUAUCAGGAAAAGGAAGCGAGAUCCCAGAGGAUCAAAAAACAGUAUACAAAUUACAAAAUGAUGGAACGGUAGUAUUGGAAAAAAUAGUUUACAAGUGGCAAGAAUGCUGUUCAUUCUGCAACACAUCUGCCAGAAAGUUUACAGAUGCAGACAAUUGGCCUCCUCUCAUGCGCCCAAUUGUAAUGAUAUUGGGUUCACAAGUUGAUUCUAUCCCAUCAAUGGUACCAACCAAAUAUAACAAUUUUCCAUAUAAAAAGUCAACUACUUCCUCAGUCCGACAAAGAAUGUCUCAACUUUGACUAAAUUUGAAUGCAUCUAUACAUUAAGUCAUGUCUAGAUACAUCCAAAUUUUGACAAAGUUGAGACAUCUUUUGUUGGAGGGAGGGAGGAUAACAAUUGCAAAAUUACCAAAACCGAAACCCUCCAACCAAGACACCGAGCAGCACAUAUCAGCAUGUGCAACAAUCCAAUCUGUGAAUACCCCUCCCCUUACGAGCUAUUAGGCUGCUUUGACUAGAUGAGUCUUAGAGCAAACCCUACCUCGUUGACUCCACUAAACCCCACCCUGACUAACCUUCAAAUACUCAUCAUGUUGUCAAGCAGCUCGUCAAGAGCGAAGAGCAAUGCGGAAACAAGGAGCAGGGAAGAAAAACGAAAAACACAACAGGAACUCAAAGUGAAGGAGGGAUUUACCGCCGAAGAAGCCGACUCCGGCGCCCACGCCGCAGCCGAAUCCGAGGCCAAAGGCGGGGCCUAUCUUGCCGAGCUCCCUGGAGGUGACCUCAGGCAGCCUCCAGAGGAGCCCCUUGUCGCCACCCCCACCUCUCUUCCCCGCCUUCGCCGUCCCCAUCGCCUUCCCCUCUCCGUCUGGUCCUGUUCGUGUUGAACUGAGGGGUCCAGGACCUCCGGGUCUCCGAGAAGAUUGAAGAAUGAAGACUCGUGCGGAAAAGCUGAAACAAAGGGCCCAACGAUAACUUGCCCAUAUAGAGCCGGAAGGAAGAUGGCCCAGACAAAAGUCUAAGCAGCUAUUGGGCUGAAAUAGAGAGGGCAGCCCUUGGGCCCGCGGAGGCAGAGCGGAGGACUUUUUUUUUCUGAGGUGACAGAGCGGAGGACUUAAAUGGUGUUUUUUUUUUCCGAAAAUAAGAUGGAAAGCAUCAAAUAUUUUUUGAGAAAUGAUGGAGAGCAUCAAUUGAUACACACAAUUAUUUUUAUUUCAAAGUCAUAGAACACAAGUCAUACAAAACACAGAUCAGAGAACACGAAUACAAAUGUAUGCAGGCAGAAAUGGUCUAACAUAGUCAGUCUAUGUAUUAAAGCAAACGAUUAGAACAACUUGAAUGCCAUGGAUAAUGGUAAACAAUGCUGCUUCGCGGUUGACCCCGCUGAUCGAUGGAACAUGGAAGAGUCUACUGGCUGCACCUUGGCAUUGACCGACUAGUGCUGCACCGCGAUAUCGUCGCGGGAGAAGAGGCAAUUUAAUUUUGCAACCACCUGUCCUUAAAACUGGUUUUACGCAUGCUAGAGAUGCUCUACGCAACAAGGUUAGAAAGAGCAUGAAACCUUGGUUUGUUUACCUACACUUGACUCUUUUCAUAUUCCAGUUUGAAGUGUUCCUUUUAAUCGGUAAUCUAGCUUUAAGUGUUGAUCCUGCCGCUACAUACGCGUUCUUCCCCAAAUCAGAAACAAGCUGGUGGCUGCACAGACCUUGUGGUCCAUUCUUUAGUACUACUAUAUCAAGACAUUUACCAUAUUGUUAUUAGAAAAUCCCGAUUACCACAUGUAACGUACUCUUCGAUUACCGUACGUGCAGGAAGAGAAUAUAGUACUGCACGUACUGAGAGAGUAGUAGUUAAUUGGUGUACGCACUGCCGCUGGAUCUUGUUGUUUUUCGAGUACCAUGCACGUUGCUCGCUUUGUGUGGAUGCAUCGUGCAUAUCAGACCAUCAGUAGUAUAUCGCAUUUUUCUCAAUUGGAAGUAGCUUAGCCCGUGGUUGGUACAAGUUUUGCAUCUGGUCCAUUCAACAUGCCAUAAUACUAUAUCAAUGCAUUUACUACAUUAGUGUGUUCAAGAAGAUCGAUCGAUCUCGCAAACGUACACGCUUGAGGUGUGCAAAUGCAUGAGUGUACUUGCAUAUGGGCAUGAGAAAACAAUGCAGGUCCGUGCCGAGAUAUUUGACAAGUCGGCACGAGCUUGAAUUUGAUUCCACUCCGGUCCGGUCAGACAUACUUCCUUCAAUCCAUGUCUCAAAUUUAAUACUUCCUCCGUCCAACAAAAAAUGUCUCAAAUUUGUUAGAAUUUGAAUGUAUCUAAAUGUGAAUUAGUGUAUAGAUGCAUUCAAAUUUGGUCAAAGUUGAGACAUCCUUUGUUGGACGGAGAGAGUACAAGCUUAUAUUAAGUUACUCACUCCGGCCGGAAUUAUUUGUUGAAAUAUUCAUGUAUCUAGACGUUUUUUGAACAUAGAUACAUUUAUAUUUGGACAAAUUUGAGACAACUAAUAUGGACGGGAGAGAGUAGCAUGAGACAAAUAUUAUGGAUCGGGCAGAGCACGUGUUAACGAAUUAUGUUGCGGUACGCUGGCCCUGAUCAUUACGGCGGCCACAGGGUUGCAAGAGUACUUGUGUAGGCAGUGGUAUGUACGCAAGUAGUACAGCUAUGUCAUGGAAACUUAAUUGAAAUCUGAGGCUCUCCCACGGAUGGGAUCUCGAUCGUUCUGCCAAAACCUUCAUGAACCUGUUAUAUGUGCCGGUCGUACCAAGAAAACAAACAAACUCUUUCCUAGCUCGAUUGUAAGUACAAAUCUUGCAUUGCUAGCUCUCCCUAGCUGAAAUAUAUAUAUGCACACGCCCAAAUAAAUGUGCAUGUACAGUUCAUAAUUUUGGGGCCAAAAUGUGUACAAAUCAGAGCCACGAGUAGCCACUGCCGGAAUCGAUCGAUAUGUAGCUCGCUUAACUUCACCUCACGUACGAUCGGCGCUCGAUCAUGUAUCUGUGUCGUAUGUACCGCUUGUGCAAGUUCAUUUGCACUUUAGAUAUAGGACGUACAGCUAGGUGCCAUUACCCAUGCGUACAUCCUAGCUAGGAUUGCCUAUGCAUGGUACGAGAAUGCACUUUGUAUUCUGGCAUCCAGCUAGUGUUCCCUGUAUUUUUAAAAUAAUAAUAAUAAUCAAAAACCAUAUUGAUGAGUUUCGAUAUUUUUUCACGUGAAAUAUAUAGGCUUUGCUAUACGACACAUUUAUUAAUAAUUGAUAAAUAUUUCAUCUAUGGGCUACACAGAAAAAUGAAUAAUGUAAUAAUGGAUGCACUAUUUGCUACUCCCAGAUUUGUGCUAGGUGCCAAGGCAGCUCUCGUUUCUAGUGCCUGCCACUGAUAUUGGGUUAAUAAUAAAUGGAUGUGAGUAGUUAUUUGCCGGGUGCGGGUACUAAGAGAAAAAUGAGAUCCAUUGUGAAACAAAUGAGAAAAAUCUAUACGCGUUCUAUUGUGGAAUGCAGUGAGUAUUGUAGAACAAAAAUGGAUAUAUUAUCAAUUAAUCAAGAUAUGUACGUAUGUAUACAUGUACAUGUACAUGUGGAACGUUUUUUAAAAACUCCAAAAUAUGAUAUUAUUAUCUUUUGUAUUUUUUAAAAUACAGAAAGUACUGGAACCCAAGAGCAAAAUUCGCUCCAUACUAGAAGUACACACCAACAUACAAGUACUCAUCAAUGACCUUUGAAAAAAUAUAUCCCAUAUAUUUUUCUGAGCCGUCACAGAAGCCGUUGGUGGCCGCAUAUCGUUCCAGGAUAGAAAUUUGCGGGGAUGUUUUUUUUUUUUAAAAAAAAAAUCUAUCGAGAUUGCAUGGGAAGACUAGAUCAGACCAUCGAUCUAGGCUUCAGGCACCAUCGUCGUGGCCGGAAGGAGGGAUUAUUGGCAACACGGUUGAGGGGAGGGAGAUGGAGGUGGAUGAUGGAGCUUCAACUUCCUAACUGUGCGAGCGCUCACCGUGGACAACAGAGGCUGACAUCGAAGUUGUGGAAGAAGAUGAUAGCUAGAAGUGAAGAAGCCCUUUGCGAGGACAAUGACAAGUACGAAGCUUCAACCCUCUACACCGAUUCAACAAACUUUGAUGACGUAUGGGAGCACCAAGUUUGACGAUGCAUUUACCAUUCCACAUUAUGGCCAUUGCAAAAGUUUGAUCGGUCACCAUGUGUGCCCCAACACACAACUCAUACCCGCCAUUAUAGAGUACUCCUUCCGAUCCUUUUGAACUAAAAUAACGACAAUAAUUUGGGAUAGGAAGGAGUAUUUAUUAUUAGUGUUCGACUUUGGCCUUCAAAAUAUUUGGCAGCCUAUGACAGUUUUGAAAUUUUGUCCAACUACCACGUAUGCAUCAUCUCCACAAAUCUUGCAAAAAUUUCAGCCGACCAAAAGCCAAGGUAUCAUAUUUGGCUAGUGAUGGUGGCCGUCACUAAUUCAUAGGGCUUGAAUUGGUAGUUUGGUACUCCAUAUUAUCCAAACGUACCUACCCACACCACAUAAAUGUUACUCUCUCUGAUCCUAAAUUGUUGACUUAAAUUUGAUCAAAUAUGAAUGUAUUUAUUCUUAAAAAAUAUCUAGAUACAUGUAAUAUUUCAACAACAGUUUAGGAUCAGAGUGAGCAGCACAUGGAGUGAUCGCUGCUGAAUCCUUGUUCAGUAUUUCUGGCCGGGCCAAAAUUGAACCACGAGGACAAGUCACAUGCGUGCACGUCCAGUGACCCGCGUGACAAAGAGCAGUACCAUAUAGCAAAAUUGAUUGCUUUUUUCCUUAAAGCACAAGCACGUACGCAUGGCGUGAUGAUGAAGAGCCAAGAUUUUGGCGGCCGGCGGCGUCACUGCACGGGGGGUUGACAUCCUCGCAAAGAUUUCUGGGAAUGAACGCCGCGUACAUCACCCACAGUGUACGAACGUUCAGAGCUACGAGCGGCCACGGGCCACUAGUCCCACUACUGUAAACGUGACGACUUACACCUGGGCGUACGGCCUCGCAAUUCUUAACUUCCUCGCAUUACGCGCACAAACGCGAGGACACCGUACGCACCGUACGUGUGUGCAAAGUUUGAUUGUAGCUCGGGACGAAAUUAAGGCGCCGGAUUUGUUUGUUUCUAAAUCCGAUGGCAACAACUUAUGCAGGAUCGGACGUCUGGGCUCAUGCAGGCGACGGUGAUGCUUCUCAGAAGCCGUGAUGGGCGGCGUCCAGCGGCUGGGAAUAGGAUGUGUCUGCUGUCCUCUUAAACUCUUCUCUCUAUUUGGCUCGUGUGGGUCAACAAUGAAGUUUAUCGCCACUCUGUUUUGAGAUUUUGGGAGUUUCUGGCUCUGUAGGACUAGAUAUUUGGUGGCAUCAGGUUUUCAACCCAUACAGUUCCGACCGAGCCGGCUGGGACACAGUAGGUUUCCUGGUGGUGUCAGGAUCCGCUUCUCCCCAUUCUCUUGUGUUUUUCUUCCUGUAAAGCUCUAAAACAUUGUUAUUUCCGUUUCAAUGAAAUGAAAAAUGAUGGUCAUCCGAAAAUAAGCUCUAAUGCAUCCAACCAAAAUAUUGUCAGGUAGAAUUAGGUACCAAAUUAGUCUGUAAAAGCGACCCCACCAGCCUCCAGACCACACAAGCCACACCACAAGUGAAAAAAAAAUGCCUAGCAGAUUCCAAUUGAUCAAAAAAAGAACACACAGGAGAACCAGACCAAUUCUUUUUCCUUGUGUAUAAAAGCCAUAAGAAAAUUUGAAUUUUCAGGAGAAUUUUUGCUUUCCAAAUCCAUCUAUGAUGGCUGCCAUGAAUAUUUCUUUCCAACCACUUAUACAUUGAUCUCACAGAAUAUACUUCUCCAAGGACCAGCACAAAUUUUCUGGUCCAGUAAAAUAAAGAUCAGAUGUUUUGCUUUUUGUUGGAUUUUACCAUGUAUAUCUUCUUUUUGGUUAAUCCUUCAUGUUCUUUUAGUAUAUAAUUGUCUGAUUUUCAAUAACCAGUUCUCAUUCUGUUCUGUUUUAUACUUUCACCAAAAUGGGCAGCUUUGAUCUUUCUGCCAAAAUAAUUUCGAAACGAUGUGAUGAGUAUUUAAAUCCUUGAAGGUAAUAGGAGGAAGAAAUUCUCGCAAAAAAAAAAUAAGCGGAAGAAAUACAUCUCAAUCAGGUCAAACUCCAGAUUCAUAGUCAAGUCUUCCCCGGCCGAAACCGAGAGUGAUGUUCACCAUCUCAAUCAGUGGAACCUCCACCACUCACGAAAGCAAUCAUUCACGACAGGUAGAUAAGAACAAAUCAGCCAUCAUACACUACACCUCAUGCACCUCAGUCUUAGACAAAUUUACUAGCAAAAUGCCUUCCACUGGCUGGCUUAUAUUACUUCUCCUUGUUCUUACAAAGCUCACGUUCAGUGGUGUCCAUGGCAAUCUUCCUAGAAAUUCUGUCCAUUGCCUUCCAGACAAGGCUGUGUCGCUCCUUCAGCUGAAGCAAUCCUUCUCCUUCGAUUUCUCUACCACCACCCUCCCUUCAUGGCAAGCCGGUACCGACUGCUGUCUUUGGGAAGGCAUUAGCUGCGACGUCUCCUCCGGUGAGGUCACUGCCCUCAGCCUCGCCGGUCGAGGCCUGUAUAGCUAUGGCAUAGACAGUGCAAUCUUCAAUCUCACCUCCCUGCAGCAUCUUGACCUUAGCAGGAACAAUUUUGGUGGGUCACACCUUCCGGAUGUCGGGUUUGAGAGGCUCUCUUUGCUCACCAACCUCAACCUCUCUGGUUCAGGUCUCUAUGGCCAGAUCCCUAUCAGCAUAGGGUACCUCACAAGUCUCGUCUCCCUUGAUCUCUCCAACAGAGACGUGACUACUUACUUUGCAAAUAUGUUGGUGUUGUGGGAACCGAGUUUUAUGGUGUUGGUGGCAAAACUCACCAAUCUAAGGGAGCUUUACCUAGAUUGGGUGGAUGUAUCUGCUAGUGGAGAAGAGUGGUGUGGUGCCCUGGCAAGACAUGUUCCUCAUCUUGAGAUUCUUAGCUUGGACCUAUGUAGGCUCUAUGGUCCAAUUCAUGUGUCCCUCUCAAGAGUUCGCUCGCUUUCUGUGAUUAACCUCCAUAGUAACUACAGAAUAUCUGGUGCAGUUCCGGAUUUUUUUGCAGAUUUCCAAAAUCUAAGUGUUCUUCAGCUUGGUGAUUGUCGUUUUGAUGGGCUAUUUCCUCCAAGGAUCUUUGAACUAAAAAAACUGAGAGUCCUUGAUUUGUCCUAUAACUCAAACAUGUUGGUUCACCUUCCAGAUUUUCUGAAUGGAAGUUCUUUAGAGAUAUUAAAUAUACAAGAUACAAAUUUCUCUACUGCCAGCCCAAGGUCCUUCAGCAACCUCAAGUUUCUCGAGGAGCUACACAUUGAUGGGAAAUAUAAAUACCUCACGGUGCUUCCUCCAUCCUCAUUUAAGUCCUUGAAGAAGUUGCACUUGUCUCAGCUAGAAUCAGAAACACCAGCCUCCUGGCGGAUUGGGGAAGCUCAGAACUUAACAUAUUUGGAAAUUUCAAGCAGCAACUUCUCCGGGAGAACGCCAUCUUGGAUUGACAAUCUCAGAAACUUGAGGAAAUUGCAAAUCUAUGACUGCAUCUUCUCUGGGCCUAUACCAUCAACAAUUGGGAAUCUGAUGAAUUUGACAGAUUUGGCACUUCAGAAUUGUGGUUUUUCUGGAAGAAUACCAGCAUGGGUUGGUAAUUUAACCCAACUAUCUUAUUUGGACCUUGACACGAAUCAUCUGAGUGGUAAGUCUACAUACCAAAAUAUUAUUCCAAUCACCACAAAUCUAUGAUGUAACUGCACAAUUUAGUUUUAUGAGAUUUUUUAUUGAAAAGAAGUGUUUUACUUAGAUUUAUUUAUUGAAAUAAGUGUUUUAAUGAGAUUUUUCUUUUCAAAAAUAUUAUUGCACGGAAAUCACAUUUGAAUGUGUUAUGGGUGCUUUAAAAAUUCAUUUGAUGGACCUAUAUACAGUGUACUAUAGGAUUACACCCACCAAGUUAGUGGUUAGUUCUGAUUAAGUGGUCAAUAUGGGAAUAUACUGUUUCAUUUAUUUAGUUUUGGUUACUUCAAAAAAACUGGAAAGUGAAGAUCAGGGGCCAAUUAACCUAAGAGCGAGCGUGCCGGCGAAUACGAACCAAGGCCCCGAGAUAGUUAUAACAGUAUAGGGGCCAAUUAACACAAAAUCCUUUUUAUCCAGUAUUAAUUUGGAACCACGUGCAUCUAAAGCAUCCUUUACAAAAAUCAAUGUAGUUGUAUGCAACCUAGAGCAAUAGCAUGAAGAACACGACACGAACACGAAGAACAGUUAGAACAGAACGUAAUAGGAACACAAGCUAGGAAACAAAGCGGAGUCGAGAACAGAAUCACAGUAGAUGUAAAUGAUAGCCCUUUGGGUCAGAUUGUUUUGCAUUGAAUUAGUUUAACUUGUCCUGUCGCCAGUGGGCCAGGGAAGGUACAGCGGCCAAAGAAAUACACAAGCUGUCAAGCUAUUCUGCUGGUGGCGACAUUUCGUAGAUCCGUAGAGGAAGUUGUGCUUAGCACCGACGAUUGUAUGAUAUCAAUAUGUUACGCAUGUGAAUCCUAUUCUGGUAACUUUAUUUCUGAUGCAAAUGAAGAAGAAUGAUUGGAGCAGAUUUUAACUGAACUGACAUUUAUUUUGCUUAUUCUCAGGGGAAAUACCAGAUUCCAUAUUUACUCUUCCAGCAUUACAGAUGCUGGAUCUUUCUUCAAAUCGACUUUCUGGCAAGCUAAGGGACUUUCUUGCUUCAUCUUCUUCCUUGUAUUGGAUUGACAUGACUGACAAUGAAUUGGAUGGGUCAAUAAAGUCACUCAGCCAACUAAAAAGAUUGCAUGCACUCUUUCUCGGUUCUAAUAACUUCAUGAUAGAUCAGGUAGAGCUCAAUUCGUUGUUGGGAUUAAGAGAACUCCGGGCACUGGACCUGUCAAAUAAUAGGCUGUCAGUAAUAGAGGUGACAGAUGGACAAGGAGUUUCAGUUCCUUCUGUAUCUCGACUUCAAGUUUUGGACCUAGCAUCCUGCAACCUAACUAAAAUUCCAGAUUUUCUACAGUUUCUGCACCAUGUCGGUUACUUGGAUAUUUCUAAUAACCAUAUUUCCGGCAGUAUACCUAAGUGGAUAUGGGACAAUUGGAGUAAUACACUUCUCUAUCUGAACUUGUCAAACAACAAUUUUUCUAGCAUGGAACUAUCUUCGCCUUUUCUUCCAAAAGCCCUACAAAUUAUUGAUCUUAGCUCCAAUAGACUCCAGGGAAAGGUCCCUAUUCCACUGAAGCCAACAAACCUACAGUUCUUGGACUACUCAAAUAACAGAUUCUCAUCAAUCUUAAAAAACUGCACCUCAUGCCUUGGAAAAACUUUCUACCUUAAGAUGGCAAAUAAUAGAAUAAGAGGAGAGAUCCCACACUUCAUUUGCAACGCGAGCAAGCUUGUAAUUCUUGAUUUAUCUAAUAACAGUUUCAGUGGAACGAUUCCAUCAUGUCUAAUACAAGGUGGCCAUCUCAGCAUAUUGAAUUUGAGGGACAAUCACCUCGAAGGAAGACUAGCAUCUAGGGUUGACAAGAGAUGCGCUCUUCAGACAAUAAAUUUGGGUGGAAAUAGGAUUGGAGGUCAACUUCCCUGGUCACUUUCUAACUGCAAGGAUUUGGAGUUUCUCGAUCUGGGUAACAACCAAAUUGUUGACUCUUUUCCACAUUGGUUGGGAAAGCUUCCCAAGCUUCGCAUUCUGGUCUUGAGAUCAAACCAGCUCCAUGGCACAAUAGAAAAUUCUCCAGGAGAUGAUGACUAUGGAGAACACUUUUCAAGUAUGCAAAUAAUUGACGUUGCCUCGAACUAUUUCUCUGGCAAUCUGAGGUCACCAUGGUUUGAAAAUUUACAGUCUAUGAUCAAAAGUUCUGAUUUCGAAGGAGACAUUAUAAAAGCUCAAAACGUGACAGGAUCUUAUCAAGAUAUUGUCACCGUAAUGUUCAAAGGGCAGUACAUGACAUUCGAGAAGAUAUGGACCACUCUUACAAUGAUCGACUUCUCGGAUAAUGCAUUCACUGGUUCCAUUCCUGAAUCAUUUGGAAGACUUGGUCAACUACAUGGACUCAACCUGUCAAAUAACAUGUUGACAGGAGAAAUUCCAGCACAACUAGGUGGUAUGACUGCUCUGGAGUCAAUGGAUCUAUCUUCAAACGAGCUUUCUGGGGAGAUACCAGAGGAGCUGACAGACCUCACUUCUCUAGGUACCUUGAAUUUGUCCAACAACCAAUUCAUCGGAAAAAUACCGGAAUCGCGCCAAUUUGGAACGUUCCAGAACAAUUCGUAUGAAGGGAAUGCAGGACUGUGUGGACCGCCCUUGUCCAAACAGUGUGACAGCCAAGGAGGUGGACCAAUUGGAGUGCUUGCGAGCAAGUCCUCAGAUCAGGUUGAUGUCAUUUUGUUUCUCUUCAUCGGCAUAGGAUAUGGCCUUGGGUUUGCAGCAGGUUUACUAAUCAAAUGGAGUCGCAUAGGCAAGUGGUUCAGGACAACAAACACGUCUUGAUAGUGCGCAAGCAAAGGUUUGUCUGCGGAGUGCAACUAUGCCUAUGCUGAAUUUUGAAGUAUUUGUUGUACUUACAUUGUUGUUAUCAGCACCUGCAGCUUCAUAAUUGCAGCAAAAAAAAAUGUCUCUACUGCAAGUUGUCUUUCUGUUGCUAUCAGUGUCUGUACUCAGCAAUCAAAACUUUGUACUACGUGAUUUGCAUGUUCAAGAACGAUCUAAAUUUCCGUAUAUUUUUAAGGCAGAUUUUAUUUCGGAUGAAAACCUAAAAUGUACAUGAAAAUUAGUUCUGGGCUCACAUUAGCGAUAUGUACAUAUAGGUAAAGGAAGAACAAUUGUAAAAUUCAGAUUUCAUAUAUUACAUGUCUUAAUUGAACCAGAGUCCAGAAACAGGACCAUAAUAAGCUGAACAGAAACAAAUGAUUCUGAAUCUGAAUGAACAAGCAUGCCAAGAAGAGAAGAGACCUGUGAACCUCUCUUGUUCUCGAGGUGGGUGCUCCAUUCCCGCCAGCCAUGGUCUACCUUGAGUGAUUCUUCCGCCCAUCACGAUCACGAUGCCUCCAACGGCCGGCUCCUGCGCCCUCCUUCCUUGGCGGAGCAUCUAGGCGACGCGCCGCCCAAUGUCGUGGUGCCCCCACCCGCGACUUGACGGCUGCGGCGAAAGGACGUGGCCGGCGGCGCGUAGAAGGCCGCCGGAUUCCCAUAAAAAAGAAGCGUGCGGCAGCAGCGCAUCUCCGCCGGUCGCCGGAGAGGGAAGGGGAAAGGCUUCGAAGAAAAAAGGGUAGCGGGGAUGAUACUUGAGCCGGUCUUUCUACGCUCUUGUACAAGGCGACCAAAAAGAGCAAAAUGCACCGUAGCUUGUAAAACUACGAAAGAUGUGUCAAUUCGGUCCUCACGACAUAAGUUUGUAAUGCAUUUUUAGUGGUCAGCUAAGUUAGAUGCUCUCUUCCUCCAAAAAAUACAAACACAAAUUGAAAAUUAAGUGAAGAAAGAAUUGACACGGUACCAUUGUACAAAACCAAAGGUUUCAAUAUACCACUCAAAUAAACAUCCUUUCCAAAAAACCACUACAAUUCAGUUUUUCAUGCCAAAAUGCCGCUAUCGUCAAUUGACUGUUAGUCAAAGUGGUAGAAAGAUGCCAGUAAUCUUACUAUUUCAAUAUUAUCCUUCUCCUUCCUCAUGCGACACGAUAAUGGCAACUCUCUACUGUAAUGGUAGAUCGUAGCUUUGUUUUUUUUCUCAACGUGCGCAACUCUGAACCACUAUCUUUUGUUUGCUGCUAUCUAAAUGCUACUGAAAUGUUGAAGGUUGUCCAAUUGAUGUCGAAAUUUGUCCAAAUGUGCUACUAAAAUCUGUCCAUAUGUGUUGCCGAAGUGUUGUUGAAAUAUGUCCAUAUUAUUGUUGAAAUGAUGUCUGAAUGUGCUGCUGAAAUGCAAGCAAAUGUUGUUGAAUUGUGAAGAGGCGAGGGUAUAUAUGCAGGGACGGAGUCAGAAAUUUGACAUGAGGGGGCGAGUUGGGAUUAGGGGGGCGAAAUUAAAGUCUUCACCUAUUUUAAAGUGAUUUUUAAUGAGCUGAUUAGUAAGUAUUAACUAAAAUGAGUCCAUUUUUGUGGUUGUUAGGGGUUGUUAGUCUUUAGUGGUAUUUUGACAUGAAAAACUGAAUUGUAAUGGUAUUUUGGAAAGGGUGGUUAUUUGAGUGGUAUUUGAAACCUUUGAUUUUGCAUAGUGGUACCAUGUCAAUUCUCUCUCAAGUGAAUGUUUUCUUGUUGAAGUUUAUGAGUUUUAUUAUGGAGUAAACAUUGAGUAGAUAUGCAAUUAAGAACCAAUUUGACAAGGAGUAACGACGAAACGGAUAUAUGUGAUGGCAGCUCAAUGAUCAUUGAUCAACUUAUUUUUGGAUUUCUCAAAUUAGAAUUUGUCCUUAUAUUUUUUUGAUCGAGUGAGUAGAAUAAAACAGAACCUAAAGUUUACUGGCUCCUCUCUGUAUUUUCCCACCUGAGCUCACAAUCACAAACAAUGUGAUUCUAAGGCGAUCGGAUUCGGCGAUUGGAACUUCGACGAGCUCGCAAACGCUUUGAACUCCUGACCAUGGUGGGAGGAGACUGAGAAGUCUAGAAAUAACAGAGAGAACGAAGAAAGGGGAGGAGGCCGUGAGAUAAAUGCAAAAUGACCAAAUGCUUCCGGUGAAUUUUCCUGCCAAAACCGACCCUUUCUGUCUGGCGUUGGUUAACGAGCUACGUGGACAAGUUAGGUCCCGAUGGGACUUACUACUUUUGUUUCACAAAACACAUGUAGAUUUGUUCAUUCGGAUAAAAUCAGCUCUCAUUUCUAAUGUCUCACUAUUUAUAUUGAUUAUUACUAAAUGAAUGUAAACUAUUAUUGGCCGGUUGCGGGAGCCAAGAGAAAAAACGAGCUAUAUUAUUGAACAAAUCAGGAAAAUCUGUGUGAUUUGUUUUGUGAAAUGGAGGGAGUAUGAUGAAACACUUGAUACACACGGUUAGAACUAAAAUGUGCAUUUUUAUACUUUCAGGACUCGGUUGAUACAUUUCACAUGGUUUUACGAGCUUUGAUGCAAUUAACUCGGACAAAAAUGUACCAGUAGAAACUCCAAAUAUUGAGUUCUCUUAAUAUAUUUCAUCAUUUUUUUAACUAGUACCGUGGCCCUCUCAAAUAGGAGGGCAAUAUAUUUAGUGUGUACAUAGAAUUAAAUGUUCCAACUCAGAUGAAAAGGUCACAAUGAUAAACACAUAAACUUUACGAUCUUUCAUCAUGUCCUUACUUCCCUAAUACCAAAAUACAUCAUGUUUUAGACACGGGCAGCACCUAAAAGACAAAAUUUUGGCGUUCUGCUUUGUAUGAACAUGCUACUAAUUUUUUGAAAAGAUGUAUAAUUAUACAAUAUUUUCAUGAUUAAUCUCAUGGCCUUAAUUUGGUCUCUCACAAUAAUGUGUUUAUACAUCGAUAGUUAAAGUUAGAGAAAUAUGAAAAAAAAAAGCUUUUGAGGACAACAAUCUAUCUUUGAACGGAGGUGUUGUUGUUGUUGUUGUUGUUGAUCUAUAAGUGCUAUCUGAUCCACUCCUCAAUUCAGCUAUUGUACAUUCUCGUUCCCUUAUAUAUGUCGUGUCAUGUAACGUCAUUAUAUCUCCUUAGUCUUGGCUUGAAUGCAUGGCAUAGUCCUGACAAUUAAUAAUCUCAUUCAAAAAAUAGUUAUCCAUUUUACUUCACCUUUACCAUUCCCAGGACGAACCAAAUUUGUGGUGUGGCAAAAUCAGUAGCACGGCGACAAUGUACAACACAACAUUUCAUUCAUUGGGUAAUACGGGUGCGAACAUAUUAAGAUAAAGGUAAGUUACCGAAAAAUACCUCAUUAAGCGAAGCUCAAACAAAAACUCACCAUUAAUCUAAUAAAUCUAAGUAGGGGAAACCACUACUUAUUUCUCUCAUCAUGCAAGCAUGCCACAUCAUCACACAAUUAAUUAAUUUGUUCACACAUCUAUUUUUUGCACAUGCGUUACUUUCCAUCAAGCUAUUUCCAUUAAGUGAAGCAUGUAUAAUCUAUCAUACAAUUACAUUAUAUGUUUUCAAUGCAUACUCUUUUGUUGCUACUUUUUACUCAUGUAUGUUAACUAAGAAUUUCAUUCAACAACGUGGGCUCACGUAUGUUAACUAAAAGUUUUCGCGACAACGUGCGGGGAAUCAUCUAGUUUAUCUAAUGUAUCGGUAUAAAGACUAACAGCAACGUCAUACAUAGUAAUAGUACAUAGUUACAUACAGUAACAAACACUGAUAUACAUACCUCUAAAAUUUGCCGUGGCCUUGCAGCCCUUCGUCUUCUUUGAAGGUGUCGGGCGGAUGACCCCGGAUAGGGUCUUGGCGACACACAUUAGCCGAGAUGACGAAGGCAAAUCCGGCACAGGCAUGUACGUCGGCAUCCUUAAGACAAACUAAUGCUAAGCCGGCAUACCAAGUGUAUGCCGGCAUGACUAUCUUGUCUUAUGAGAUGGCAGGAUAAGGACGGAUACACUGAUCUCGGCCAGCGCCGAGAUGUCUUAACGGUCUUAUCCUCAUCGCGUGGCGCAAAGUAAAGCAACGCUAUCUUUAUCACGGAAAAGCAGUCGCUGCUUACGUUGUGAUGGCAGACGACCGCGCAAAGAAGCACCGAAAGAGAAUCAGUGACGGAAGCCGGCAGGCGGCUGGUGUACUUGUUGCAGAGCGUCAGGAAAAAUACAGUUGUCUUGUCCCCUGAGGUGCCACCCGGAGGGAACCAAGGCGCGUGCCCGGCGGGACUCAUAGAAGAUAACGUUAGCCCUUGACCCACAUGUCAGUGUGACAUGGGCGGUCCAUAAAUAGAGCACUACCCCUCCCAGGAGAGGGAUCCAACACUUAGGCAUCUAGGGUUUACCCCUUCUUCUUCUUAUUCUUCUUCUUCUUCUUCUUCUUCUUCUUCUUCUUCUUCUUCUUCUUCUUCUUCUUUCCUCAAGAACACUGCUCAAGGAGCGCCAUUGUAGAUCUUGUUAUCUCGGCUUAUUAAAAAAAGCAGGAGUAUGAGUCUUACCUCUACAAGAGGGCUCCGAAUCUGGGUAAAUCUGUGUGUGCUAGUGUGCUUGUGCGUGUUUCUCUUCACGUCCUCCCUCCUCCGGUUCCUCUUUCGUCCAUCGGCCCCAACUUAAGCCAUCCUAUGGCAUCUGCCGUGACACCACCACGACAGUUGGCGCCCACUGUGGGGCCAGCAGCGGCGCUGGCUGGAGUUUUCAUCCGGACGGAAGCUUCCUCGUCACCGGGGAGCGCGUGGUCUCCGGUUUGGUCUAGAGAUUUGGCUCUCUGGGCUUCAUCGACAACAACGCCGGCUGCUUCAACAACGCGCCGCUUCCUUGCGCAGGCCGCUUCAUCAACUUCGGCAUGCAUGAGGUUUAUGUCGCCACUGACAGUCCUUGCAGGUACCCCGAGCAGGUAGUGGUGGCCGAAGAUCCCCCCACCGUCUGCACGGUUCGCGGCCGGCAUGUCGACUGCCCCGCUGACCGUGUGGAGGUCAUGGUGACGGCUCACGGCGUCGAUGCUGGCAAGGGCACCGCAGAGAGCGGCACGGUCCCGAGCAAGUCCGGCAGAACGGCGAAGUUCCCUUUGGAGAAGCCGGAUAAUGUCGCUGCUCAAGCCGGCACGUCGGCUCUACCGCCAAAGUCGACUCAGCUCCAGGCCUCCAACGAACGGCUGACCGUGCCGGUGGCGUCAAACUCUAACCCGGCCCAGCUGCAGGCUGAGUUGGAGUUGGAGCGCCAGAAAUUGCUGAAGGAAGCUGUUGACGUGGCUCGCGCUCGGCAAGAACUUGAUAUUUCGCUCCGUAUAACAAAGCUCAUGGUUUCAAUUCUAUCGCAUUGACUAACCCUAGCCGAGUUGGGGAAGUGCGUAACCGAGGCAGGAACUUGAACGCCGAGAUAGCUAGAGAUUGCAGAGGGGUGCCUGCGGUGUCGGCAAGUUUUGCCUCGGCAUUGAAGCCGAGAUACAACACCCCUGUCAAGAAUCUCAGGGCCACCGAGGCUGCGGCCGAGGAGUUGCCGAAUCCCACGGGAGAGGCACUCCGGCUGUAGCAAUUGCGCGUGAAGGAGUUACUCCGCACGGCUAACGAGCAGAAUGAGGCAUACAUGAGAUUGCACGGCAAGCCCAGUGCGUCUCAGGUCAUUCACUCGGUAGCGGGCGCUGAUGGCCGGGCUGACAAGCAAGCGUCCUCGCCUGAUGGCAAACGGGACAAGAGUGUCAACUCAGGCCGAGAUAAGCGCCUAGAGCAUUAUGACCCGGUUCUGGCCGAGAAGCAAAUGGUCAAGAGAGUUGAAGACAGCCAGAGUGGUAUGCGUCUCGGCAACAAUCGCCGAGAUCAGCAAGAGCGUCACUCGGCUGGUCUUGGACACCGACCUCGGGGUCCGGCACCCAAUACUGUUGUAGGUCAGCAGGGUGUCGGGCGCAACCCCCUGUAUCGAGGUGAAGAUCGCCGGCAAGACCGUUACGAUGACGGGUACUCGGCCAUGGGUGAUGAGGGCUCUCUCAGGCAAGAACGCCAUAAUCUCGGCCCGCUCGGAGCCCGAAUUGGGAACAAACAAGUGUCGCCGCUGGAUGCCCAACAUCGGCUCGACAGAAUAUAUCUGUCAGAGGUUUUGGAAGAACUAGGCCCUUCGGGACAGCGUUGUUUCGCACACCGGAUCAUGAGGGAGACACCAGCCCAGGGUUUCCAGCUGCCCAGGGGUACGAGAACAUAUGACGGCAGUACUAAGCCGGAAGAUUGGCUGGAAGACUAUGUCACGGCGGUGCAUGUGGCAGGCGGCAAUCGCCGAUGGGCAGUACAUUAUGUACCCCAGAUGCUGGUAGGGCCGGCAAGGAUAUGGCUGAACAAUUUGCCGGAAGGCAGCAUCAAUUGCUGGAUAGACUUUGAGGAAGUUUUUGUCAGCAAUUUCACUAGCACUUACAAGAGGCCAAACCGCUCUCAGCGGUUCUUCAUGUGCAUGUGCAAACAAAGAGACAAUGAGACUGACCGGAAUUACCUGACAAGAUGGAACAACCUCCGCAAUUCCUGUGAAGGGAUAGUGGAAUCGCAAGCCAUAGCGUGGUUUGCCCAAUGAUGCCGACAUGGCAGCAUGUUAUGGCAAAAGCUGCAAAGAGAAAUGCCGGCCACUCUGUCUGAGAUGAUCAAGAUUGCCGACAUGUAUGCUCUCGGUGAUCCGACUCAGCCAUCAUUGAUGCCGUCAGAGCCGCAAAGGGAGCAGCCGAUAUACAACCCUGCUAGAGCAUUCCAGAGGAACGAUUAUCAAGAUCACCGCAACAAGAGAAGGGACGACAGGUCGGAUUACCGGUAUGGGCCAGCCCAUGUCGCCGCUAUUCAGGAUCAACCUGAUGCCGGCUCUAGCCAGUGUUGAAAGACUGAAAAUCAGCAGUGGGUCAAGAAAGGAGAGCAAAAGAAGCCCUGGCAAGAUAACCAGAAGUAUAUGUUCGAGGUGAUGCUGGAUCAGCCUUGUCGUUUUCACACGACUAAUCCCAGCAAACCGACAAAUCACACAACCCGGCAAUGCAACUGGAUGCAGCGGGCCGAGAAGGGUGAGGCAAGUCGGCUGCCCCCUCCUCCACCGCUCACAGGCGUUAACGCCCAGAUCCAAGGACCCCCUCCGACAAACAAUGCUGUCAAUCAGGUGGAAGACCAAGGUAUCCCGCAAUAUGCCGGAAGAAAUAAAUACAAGGAGCAUCACGAGAGCUACAUGAUUUUCAUCACGGAGCCGACUGACAAGCAGAGUCAGCGUAGGCGAGAGAUGGAAGUCAAUGCUGUGAUGCCGGCGGUUCCAAAGUUUAUGUACUGGUCGGAAUAGGAGCUCAACUGGAACCGAGCGGAUCAUCCCAAGGUUAUGCCAAAUCCUGGUAGAUAUGCUCUGGUGGUUGACCCGACACUCAUUGGGCCCGGCAUUAACGUCAAGUUCACUCGGGUUCUCAUUGAUAUUGGAAGAAGCAUAAACAUCAUGUACCGGGACACGAUGCUCAAAUUUUGGCAUUACUCAUAACAUGCUUGAGCCUAGCCGGACUACCUUUCGUGAUAUCGUGCCGGGAGUGUCUUGUGCCCCGGUAGGCAAGAUCCGAGUCGAUGUCUUAUUUGGCACCAGGGAGAAUUGUCGGACCGAGAACCUGGUGUUCGAAGUGGUGGACCUUAGCAGUCCGUACCAUGCGCUACUUGGCAGACCGGCAUUGGCCAAAUUCAUGGCGACUACCCACAUAGGCUAUCUGAAGAUGAAGAUGCCGGGGCCAAAUGGUACCAUAACCAUUACUGGCAACUACAAGCGUUCAAUGGAGUGCGCGGCGGCAGGGUCUGCCUUGGCCGAGUCACUGGUCAUCGCUGGUGAGAAGAAGAAGUUACAAGAAGCUGUUGCGAUGGCUCAAGCGGUACAGAUUGGCCUGCGGGCUAUGACCAAUCCCCAUGGGAGUGUGGCGUUUCAGGCAGCCAGGAGACGAAGAAGAUACAGGUCGACAGUGAAUUCCCGAACCGCACCGUCAUCAUUGGUGCCGGCCUGGGUGAAAAUAGGAAGGCGAGCUCACCAGCUUCCUCUGUGAGCAUCGGGACAUCUUCGCAUGGUCUAAUCAGGACCUGCCGGGUGUGCCGAGGGAGCUGGUUGAGCACUCAUUACAUGUCAGACCAGACGCUAGACCGGUGAAGCAGCCCUUUCGACGCUUCGCCGACGACAGAAGGAAAAUCAUAUCGGACAGAAGGAAAAUCAUAUCGGAAGAGAUAUCCCGGUUUCUAGUUGCGGGCUUUAUCAUGGAAGUAUUGCAUCCCGACUGACUGGCGAAUCCGGUCAUGGUCAAGAACAAGAAAAACGACCCAACUGCUGCCAAGGUGUGGCGCAUGUGUAUCGACUACACAGCCUGAACAAGGCAUGUCCAAAGGAUCCUUUUCCGUUACCUCGGAUCAAUCAAGUAAUCGACUCCACUGCCGGUUGUGAAUUGCUGUAUUUUGUAGACGUGUACUAUGGUUUUCACCAGAUACCGCUGAACCCUAAUGAUCAAAUAAAGACAUCAUUUAUCACCCCGUUCGGGGCUUAUUGCUAUCGCACUAUGCCGUUUGGUUUGAGAAAUGCAGGAGCUACUUAUCAAAGAUGCAUGCAGAAAUGCUUGCACGAUCAACUCGGCAAAAAUGUGCAGGUAUAUGUCGAUGAUGUCGUCAUAAAAACCAAAGAAAGCGCCACGUUGCUGGAUGAUAUCCGGAAAACAUUCGCAAAUCUGAGAAGAUUCCGAAUGAAGCUAAACCCGGCUAAAUGCACAUUCAGUGUGCCGGUAGGGAAGCUGCUCGGGUUCCUGGUAUUGAGCCGAGGUAUAGAAACGAACCAUGUGAAAAUCGCCGCCAUAGAGAGAAUGAAACUGCCGAAAUGUCUCAAAGAUGUGCAGAAAUUCACUGGAUGCCUAGCAUCGCUAAGUCGUUUCAUUAGUCGGCUGGGUGAAAAGGCAAUGCCCUUAUACCAGCUGAUCAAGAAAACCGACAAAUUUGUGUGGACGCAACACGCAGAAGUAGCCUUUCAAGAACUAAAGAAGAUGAUUGCUACAACGCCAAUAUUAGCCUCACCAAUGGAGAAAGAGCCGAUGUUAUUGUACAUAGCAGUAACAAAUCGAGUCGUUAGUGCCGUCAUAGUGGAGGAAAGAGAUGGAGAUGGCAAAUCAGUGCAAAGGCCCGUAUAUUAUUUGAGCGAGGUGUUAUCGUCGUCUAAGCAGAAUUAUCCUCAUUACCAGAAGAUGGCAUACGACGUUUAUAUGGCGGCAAAGAAACUGAAGCAUUAUUUUGAUCUGCAUCAGAUUCGGGUUAUAUGUGAGGCACCCAUGUCAGAAAUCAUGAGCAAUAAAGACGCAAGCGGCCGGAUCGCAAAAUGGGCUAUCGAGUUAGCACCCUACACGCUGCAGUAUGACAGACGGGAUGCCAUAAAAUCUCAGGCUCUCGCGGAUUUCCUGGUACACUGGGCCGAGAUAGAAUAUGAGCCACCACCGCCUGAAACUGGCUAUUGGAAGAUGCAUUUUGACGUCUCCAAAAUGAGAAGUGGGCUUGGUGCUGGCAUAGUAUUAACUUCGCCUAAGCGCGACCAACUUAAAUAUGUGCUGAAAAUUCAUUUUGCGGCAUCCAACAAUGUCGCCAAGUAUGAGGCACUCGUGCACGGACUAAAGAUGGCAAAAGAAAUUGGAGUUUGUCGGAUUCAAUGCUUUGGCGACUCGGACUUGGUAGUUCAGCAAGCUUCCGGCAAUUGGGAUGCAUUGGAUGCCAAUAUGACACUAUACCGCUUUCAUGUUCAGAAGAUCAGUGGUCAUUUCGAAGGGUGUGACUUCCAUCAUAUACCGCGGGCGGAAAAUGAGGCAGCCGACACGCUGUCGAAGCUCGGCUCAACGCGACAAGCUAUCCCGGCUGGUGUGGCAUUGGAGCAUUUACGCAAACCAUCCAUCAAGCCAUCACUAGAAUCGGAGUCAAUCUUUAUCCCGCCGAUCUCAGAAGCUGACAUCACCCCAAUGGACAUUGACAGUGGUAGCGGUUCCGGUAACUCAGUGACUGAGCGCCCUAACUCGGCGGAAGCAAUGGCGGUUGAGCCAAUGGAGAUAGACGAACCAGACGAGCCGAUCUUUGCUACUCGUCCCGUGCUGGCCUGGGCACAACCGAUAAUGUCUUAUCUCAAAGAUGGGAGUCUCCCGGAAUAGUAAGUGUCGGCAAGGCAAAUUUAGAGAAGGGCAAAGGCAUACACUAUACAAGAGAAGUGUUACUAACGUCUUGCAGCGAUGUGUCGAGCCGGCAGAAGGGCAAGAGAUACUCCGAGAUAUUCAUCAGGGAGAGUGCGGUCACCAUGCGUCUUCAAGAACAUUGGUUGGCAAGGCAUUCCGGCACGGUUUCUACUGGCCGAGUGCGAUGCAAGAAGCAGAAGACAUGGUCCGGAAAUGCAAUGGUUGCCAGAGAUAUGCCAGCAAGAUUCACAUGCGGCAUCUGAGCUCAAGACUAUUCCAAUCACUUGGCCAUUUGCUGUUUGUGUUUGGAUAUGGUGGGACCUUUCAAGCGGGCGCGAGGAGGCAUGACACAUUUCUUGGUCAUGGUUGACAAGUUUACUAAAUGGAUUGAAGUGAAGCCGAUACAAAAGUGUGACGGCAAGACUGCGGUAUCAUUCUUAAAGGACAUCAUCUUGAGGUAUGGUUACCCGCACAGUGUCAUCACGGAUAAUGGAACGAACUUUGCGGAAGGACCUUUUGCGUGAUUUCGCGCGGAAAAGAAAAUCCGGCUGGACAUCGCCUCCGUGGCACAUUCUCAAUCCAACGGACAAGUUGAGAGAGCAAACGGCAUGGUUCUAGCCGGCAUAAAACCUAGGUUGAUUGAGCCACUGGAACACACUCUAGGAUGUUGGUUAGAUGAACUCCCAGCUGUGCUAUGGAGUCUUAGGACAACCCCAAAUCGCUCUACAGGCUACACGCCAUUUUUCCAUGUAUACGAGGCGGAAGCUGUCUUACCAGCCCACAUUGAACAUGACUCUCCACGAGUGACCAUUUAUACGGAGGUGAGGUAAAAGAGGCCCGAGAAAAUGAUGUCGACCUGCUCAAAGAAGCAUGGGAAUUGGCUCUAUCUCGGUCAGCCAUCUAUCAACAACACCUAAGGCAUUAUCACAGCCGGAGGGUAAACCCGCGAGUAUUCCGGGAAGGAGACCUCGUGCUCCGACUUGUGCAGCGCACAGCCGGCAUGCUUAAACUAUCACCCCCAUGGGAAGGAUCCUUCAUUGUGAGCAAAGCGCUACACAACAAUUCCUACUAUCUUAUAUAUGCGCAGGAUCCCAAAGCAAACAGGAUGGACAGGUCUGGCGAGGAGACCAAGAGGCCAUGGAAUGUAGCUUUACUUCGUCUGUUUUAUAUUUGAAAGAUGAGUAUUUGUAUCGCUUUUUCCUUUAUGUUGAAUGUUUUGAAAAAAUGAAAUUAUCUGCCGGGUUCUUAAAAAGGACUCGCAGACUCCCAUGCUAUUUAAGUGUUGUAUUGCAUUUACCGUUUUGUAUGUCGGCAUGUCUUAGUUGUGCAAUCUUAUGUCGGUUGAGUAGUCUGUCGGUAUUCAAAAUCCCCUCUAUGACUUCGUUGUUGUGCGCAACGCAGCUUCAUGGCAAGCUAGAGAUUGGGUACGAGAUAACUGAACACAUGAAAAACGAUUGCGGAAACAAACAAAAAAGCGAGCCGAGAUGCGCGUCGUUUUACUUAACUCGGCAUUUCAUUCUUGUCUCGGGUAUUUCCAAGCGAAUUUGUCGAGUUUAAGUUUUUUGAAAGGAUUGUUCUAUGAAUUCGUGAUUCAUACGUCGAACGCCGACAAGGCAGACAAAAGAACCGAAGUCCUAAAAUCACCAACAGAAAAAAUAGACACGGGGACUCGGUUGGGAGAUCGGUAAUUAAAAGACUGAAAUAAAUUAAAAGUAGCUUCAUAGAACAAAAGUGUUUUAACCCGGUUACAUCUGCACCCGGCAUCCCGGGGAUCUGAUAAAUUUAGAGCAUUUUUCCGGCUUGACUAAGAAGAAACAGAAGGAUUGGCGGCGCCGGAACUCGGAGCAUCCGUUGCAGUAGAAGCCGACUCGACGACAAUCUCUUCGUCGACUUCUUCUUCGUCGUCUUCCUCGACCAUCUCCGCAUCUGCUUCUGACACCGGGCCCUCCACAAAUUUAUGCACAUCGGCAUAUUGGAUAAAGGAGUAGGCCCGCUGCUGCCGCUUCGUGAUGAGUUCCGGGUCUGAGAGGAAAGGGGAGCCGACUUGCAUCGACUGCAGCACGUCGAGGUUGAUGCCGUCGUACCAAGAGAGUACAAACGACAAAGCCUCGUCGGCACCGACACAAGCGGCCGAUUCCCGCCACUCGUUCAGCCGGUCCUCCACCUCCAGAAGGCGCUUCGCCAAUUCCGGGAUGCCGGUCGGAGUUUCUUCUCCCGGCCACAACGCUCGGAAGGCCCGGAUGCCGGCGUUGAGCAUGUUUACCCCGAACGACUUCAGAUGCUUAACCCGGCUUGCAAUGCUGACCAAGUAAUCCUCCAAGUCAUAUUCGAAGGGUACUGCCCCAGCUGGAUCCCUCCUUCUACGGGCCUUGAUCACGGCAGCUUGGGCAGUCUCAACAGAAUGUGGGAAAAAUUCUGACAAAGGCAAAAAGAUCGUAAUGAGUCUCGACACUCCAUUGCUGCUUUCGGACAAAUGAUCAGAGGAAGAGACUUGGUCAAGGGCAACUUACUAGUCAGCAUUGCGUCGAUUUUGAUGAGGUCACGCCGGGACACGCUAAGUAGGCGGGCGUUCUCGGCCUUCUCCUUCUCGACAGCAGUGGCGCGAGUCUCGACCUUGGCGACAAGAUCCUUGCAUUUCUGCACUUCGCCUUCUAGGCAGAUCUUCUCGUCAGCUUGGGCGGAGAGAGGCGAGGUAAGUUGACCUACCUCGGUGUUAUGCGCCUCCGCCUGAGCUUCGAGCUGCGCUUUCUGCCGGGCCACUUCGUCCCGGUGCUGCUCUUCUAGCCGAGUUUUCUCAUCUGUUUAGCAGACGUGUGUUAUAGAAGUUUGAGUUUAAGAUGGAUGAAACCUGAGAUAAGGACAAGCCUAUACCUUGUACUUCGGCGACACGCUUCAAGAGCUCAGAUACUUGAACAUUGUCCCCGGCUGUAAACAAGAGCACGUAUCAGUUUUUGCAGUGCAUUAAUACUCGGACAAAUUCUUUAUGUAGGUAAAAAUGUACUUACUCUGGCUCUGGCGCUCGGCUACCAAGGCCUUGUGCUCUGCCGCCAGCUUCUUGUGCUUCGCCAGCAGGACCUUAAAGGUAGCGGUGCGCUUGUUCAUGCAGGUCUGCAAGACAAUAAUCAACAGUUAAUUCUAUUGCAGGGGGAAUAAGUGUUUGAAGUUUCUAAGCUUCAGGCCGACUAUUCUAAAUCCGACCUGAAUCUCGGGGAAUAAGUGUUUGAAGUUUUUAAGCUUCAGGCCGACUAUUCUAAACCCGGCCUGAAUCUCGGGGAAUAAGUGUUUGAAGUUUUUAAGCUAUAGAAGAAGGUCUUGAGCCACUUUUUGCUGGACUCAAGACCUUGGAUCCGAGGAAAGGCUGAGCCUCGGCGGGGUAUCACGGUGGCGGCGCCGCACUGGGUCAUGGGUUUGGCGGCGCCGGGAUUCUCUUUGUCGAGGAGAACUUGGGGCCGGAACAUAAAGUAUUUGGCCCACAAGUCGACGGGAGGCCAGAGGCCGUGAUAGGCCUCACAGCAAGUGACAAACGCCGAGAGUGUGAGGAUAGCGUUUGCCGGAAGAUGGUGCGGCAGAAGGCCAAAGAAGUCUAAGAAUUUCCUAGUGAAAUCACUAGCUAGCAGAGCGAACCCUCGUUCAAAAUGAGCAAGGAAGACGACAUGCUCACCAGAUUCGGGUGCCGACACAGUCUCGUAACCGGGGGUCCGACACUCUACAUCUUCUAGAAUCCGCCGGGAGCGGCGGAGCCACUCGAUGUCUGCCGGGGAGACGUCGGAGCCUUCCUAGCCAGCUUGCUCCGAGCCCGUCUCCUCCUCGGUGUGCUGAGCAGCGAGGUCAACGGUGGCGGCAUCACGGGAAGAAGAAGCCAUUGUUGGAAACUAGAUCUAGGCUUAGCUUCUCCGGCGAAGAGGUGGUGGUGCAAGGCUCAAGCGAGCAAGGAAACGGCGGCAGAGAGUCAAGCGAGGGCGCACGAGGAUAUGGCGACGAGCUCGGUUGCUGGGAGCAAGGAAGCGCACCGGCGGAAGAUCUCGGAGCUAUCGGCAAUGGUGGAGCACGCAAGAAGCAGAGAAGAGCAGAGGAGAGCGAGAAGGUUGGGGGAGUGCGAAGGGUUUUUCUCCCUCGCCCCCUCCCUCUUUUUGUACCCGCAACGCACUAAAGGGGGCGCGGAUCUUUUGCGCCCACGAUGCCUGUGGCCAACGGAUGGGCCGCGCACGAUCAUGGGGGCAAUCAACCCCAUUAACGCGCAAGCGCUCGGUUACCACGCGGCGUGGCUCAGUUAAUCCCGUCGAAUCCGGGAGGAUAAGGAUCCGCGUGGGAACCAAAAUUCCUCUCUUAAUGGCCUAUCAGUUUUACUGUCCGAUGGGACGACGUGCUCGCCUCAAUGGGCGCGCCGGCAGUACUUCGGGUUUUAUCUUUCCGUUAUUUAUGCAGAGUGCAGAGUACAAGCGACAGGUGGCACUAAUGUCGGCAGAAACGAGUUUUUUGUUGUCGGCCAUGUAGGGGAAAAGAAUCUCGACUCAAUGCUGAAUAAGCACGCCAGCUCGGUAUGUCGGAAUAACUUGAUCUCGGCUAAGAGGAACUCGGGGUUGUCUCGGCAUCCUUUUUGGCUAAGCCCUGGUGAGCUUCGGUGGUUCCUGUGUGGGAAGUUGUCGUGGCCCGACAUUCUUCCCUGCCGGACCGCAACAGUUUCGGGGACUAUUAUCGGGGGGAUGACCCCGGAUAAGGUCUUGGCGACACACAUUAGCCGAGAUGACUAUGUUGUCUUAUGAGAUUGCAGGAUAAGGACGGAUACUCUGAUCUCGGUCAGCGCCGAGAUGUCUCAACGGUCUUAUCCUCAUCGCGUGGCGCAAAGUAAAGCAAUGCUAUCUUUAUCGCGGAAAAGCAGUCGCUGCUUACGUUGCGGUGCCAGGCGACUGCGCAAAGAAGCACCGAAAGAGAAUCAGUGAAGGAAGCUGGCAGGCGGCUCCUGUACUUGUUGCAGGGUGCCAGGAAAAGUAAAGUUGUCUUGUCCACAACGGUGCCACCUAGAGGGAACCAAGGCGCGUGCCCGGUGGGGCACAUAGAAGAUAACGUUAGCCCUUGACCCACAUAUCAGUAUGACAUGGGCGAUCCAUAAAUAGAACACUACCCCUUCCAGGAGAGGGAUCCAACACUUAGGCAUCUAGGGUUUACUGCUUCUUCUUCUUCUUCUUCUUCUUCUUCUUCUUCAAGAAUACUGCUCAAGGAGCGCCAUUGUAGAUCUUGUUAUCUCGGCUUAUUAAAAAAAACAAGAGUAGGAGUUUUACAUCUACAAGAGGGCUCCGAAUCUGAGUAAAUCUAUGUGUGCUAGUGUGCUUGUGCGUGUUUUUUUCACGUCCUUUCUCCUCCGGUUCCUCUUUUGUCCAUCGGCCCCAACUUAAACUAUCUUAUGGCAUCUGCUGUGACAUCUAAAAUUUCUGAUAUCUGAUAGCGUCCUAGCAGAGUAACAAUCUGCUAAUCUGCUUUGCUGCCGCCGCAGGCGGGCCUGCGCGCGGUUCACCGUCCUCGACGGGCGGUUGUGUUCCAAUUGCAACUCUGGUUGCCACGGUUGACCGUGCCCACCGUGGAUUAGGAUCUUGGGUUCUGCUUUUGCGACUCUACUCUAUGCUAGCGCCGAUCAGAAUUCAGAAGGAUGCAGACGCACACACAAGACGAUGUAACGAUCUCUGAUUAAAUCGAUCGAUCGGACCAAACCUUCACGUACGCUAACACCCAGACCUCUGCUAAUUGAUUGCGAGCUAGCAGUUGUUCCUAGGGUAGUACUGAACUACUGCAUGUACCAGCUGCGGCACGGCGCCGCGGCGCCAUCGUCACCAGACUCACCGUCAUGCGCGCGCACUCGCCUCUCCUAAUCGGCGUGUCCCAAUUUCUGUGUUGACCUUCGUCACGAUGAUCAUGGCUGUGAUCACGUUGUUAUUUCUACUUUCCUUCGCUAACAUGGAAAUUUAUAGUUUCUACUUUCCUUGGUUAACAUGGAAAUUUCUAGGGAAAAAGAUCUAACGGUUGUGAUCUAGAUGGGACGUUUGAUGUCCUGAUUUAUUUAGAUGCGAUUAUAAAGAUGCAACGGUUGUGAUCUCUCUAUAGAAAAAGGUCCACCCAAUUAAUGUUUUGCUUUUUUGCGAGAUUUUUGAGCCUCUCUAUUUUUUCCGUGGUUGUUCUGUCAUGUACUUUUAGUAUAUAAGACAUUAAUAAGACGCCGUGCAAACGAACCAGUAGCAUCAUCAUGCAUGCAUACAUGUACUAGGCAAAAGUCCAUUGUUUUAAAUGCUUUAACUCUUAAACUGUCAAGUUAAUUUAAGAUAUGUCUUCUCGAUUAAUUUUGUCUCGACGAGAUCUUCGAAACUAGAUCUCAUGUUGACAUGUUUAGACAAAUUUAAUUUUUGUUUUAAAAGUUUCCAUCCAAUAAUCUAUGAAGUUGCCAUCCUGUUAGUAACAAAGUAACACGUUGUAACUUUAUAUAAAAUAUGGUGGCGAUUUGUGUAUCAAAGGUAUUAUCUGAUAAUACGUAAAGUCACCACCCUGUAAUAUAUGAAGUUGCCGCCUUAUUAGUAACAUAAUACCAUGUGUCAACUUUAUAUAAAAUACGGUGACGACUUGUUUAUCAAAGGUACCAUCCGAUAAUACGUAAAGUCACCGCCCAAUAAUAUAUGAAGUUGCCACCUUAUUCAUAAAUAUUACCAUGUGGCAACUUUAUAUAAAAUACGGUGGCGAUUUGUGUAUCAAAAAGGUAUCCGAUAAUAUAUGAAGUUGCCACGUUAUUCGUAACAACUUACCACGUCGUAAUUUCAUACAGUAUAAAAUAGGAUGGCGAUUUGUGCAUCAAAGUUGUCAUCCGAUAAUAAUGUAAAGUUGCCAUCCAAUAAAAUAUGAAAUAUUAAUGUGUUAGUAAUAAAUUAGCACGUGGUAACUUUGUACGAAACAUUUUGACUCUUAAAAUAACUAGUAUGUAUAUAAUAUGCACUCACACGCUAGUUGCCAACAUAAAAUAAAAAUUACAUGCAAAGAGACAAAAGAGACAGUGCAUGCAAGCUGCAGGCUGUUCGCGCAGGCAGCUGAAUACAAUUCCUGAGUAGCAAAGGGGAAAAAAAAUCAUGCGUGCAAGCCACGCAAGUGCAACAGCAGCAGCAGUCAGCAUUGGCAGUAGCCCACUAGCGCUCGAUCGAGCGCGUCGCCCAGCCAGACAAGAGCGCGGACGUACGCGCGACAUAUUUUCCGUUUAGGUUUUUAGACAUCAAUCUGAUUAUAUGAAUUCACGUGAUUUAGUUUUCCAACAAUUUAAUUUUGUCUCUACUAAUUAUAUAUAAAGUCACCAACAUAUUCUUUUCAACGUCCACCUCACUAAACGUACACAGAUUAUUUAUAGUCCACAAUCAGACUUACUGAACACAGAUUACUUUUUAACCGUGUGCGUUUAGUAAUUACUCCCGGAGGCUGAAUUCCACAAAGCAUGAGAUAAGGUUGCACCGUCUGCUCUCUCGCAAGGAACACACCGGAUCCUCGCGCACCCCCGCUGCUUAUCAAGCCGGACUCCUUGCGCCCGCUCAAAUCUUCUCGCUGCUGCCGCCGAACUCCUACUCCUCCUGCCCCGUCGCCUCGCGGGCCUCGCACCGUCCUAUCCCUUGCCCCGUCGCCGCCCGUCCCCAUGCCCUUGUCGCGCUCCCCUGCCCGCCUGCCCUAUCCAUCAGUCAGCCUGGCAGGAGAAAAUCAGGCUCGUCCUCCGUCAAUGGCCAGUGCGCCUGGCCGCCGUUUCCGGCCAACUCCGCCGCCCCGCAUGCUCCACCCCAGGCAACGCCGCUGCUCGCCGUCAUUGCCGCCCCGCCCCAGGCGCCCUGUCCCGCCGUCGUGCGCCACGGCGACCAGGCCGCGGUCGUAGCACUCCCGCACCCCGCCCCACGCGCCCUGUCCCGCCGUCGAGCGCCCCGGUGCCCCGGCCGCGGUAGCCCUUCUGCGACCUCCGUCCCCCGGGCGCCACGCCGCUGCCCCACCGCUGCUCAUCACGACAUCACACCGAGGCCGCGUUAGAGGUUAGUGCUUCAAUCUCAUAUGAUUUGUUCCAUUGCGUUGUAUCCGUGUAGGUCUUUUCCAGCCCGAGGAGUAUAUUUAUUUGUAUUUUUUGUGAGAUAUUUGUAUUUUAUGAUGCAGAAAAUUAAGCAUGAGUUGAUACAUAUGCCCUACGAGUUAUGGGCUUAGGUUUUGUGUCAGUACCCCAAAAUAAACUAUGCGGAUCUUAAAGGCAAAAGUUAUAAGUGAUUAUGGAGAAUUCUGUACUAUAGACGGGAGCUAUAAGUCCCUAUCUGUUUACUACAAAUGAAUUGUGGUCUGUAUUUUAAAUACAUAGAUGAACCAAUGUCUGUAAAAAGCUUCUAGAUAUUCUUAAAUAAGGAGUAGAAACUUAUGACUCAAUGUACAUCCUCCACAUUCUUACAUUGGCAUACAUUGUUUGGUACUGUGCAUUCUUUCUCAGUUGUUCAGUUAGCUUGAACUACAUAAAUCCUUGGCUCUGUGCUGCUGCUGCUACUGUUAACAUGCACCGGAGAUGAUGAAAAUAUGGGAAGACAAUCCAAAAUACCUAUUGUCUCUUCGAAGGAAAAGAUCAAAGAGAGGGAAAAAAGUGAACGAAUAUAUAUCUUAUUUCCCACAAAUUUUAUGAUCUGAGGUUAAAUCAUAGUAUAGAUGUCCAUCUUAUUACAGACAUAUAUAAGAAAUAAUUAGAAGAGUUUUUUUAUGGCCGUGACCGAGCAUGCAUAUUCUUUUAGCUUAGACAUAUAAAUUAUCGAUGUUGCUGGUCUUUCUCAUGUAUGGGGUUGUAUAUCUGCAAGCAAGGAGAUGGCUGACCAUUUCUGCUGUGUUGCAGGUGCAGUUGUCCGUUCUUGUGAUGGAACUAUCUUUGAUGAUGAUUCAACACCGCUUGUUUGUUGUCAUACUUGGAUGAAUAUCUCUGACAGUUGGAAUUUGUUUUCAUGUUUGGCUUCAGUUAUGCGAAGGACAAGUGUUACUAUUAUACAUGGAUUGACAAGAAUGGCAAAUAAUCAUGGCUACUACUUACAAAGUUACAAACCAUAUUUUGGUGUUGGUCUGGGACCUUUGUUGGUAGCUUUGCACUUCUAAAUGAAACUUGGAUGGAUUUUGUCUGCCAGCCAUAUUAAAACAGUUUGUUGACUGUGCCACCAAUUAUUUAUUAUUGGGCUUAUGAAAUGUCAGUUAAAAUUAUAUUACAAUCGUCAUAAGAGUAUGAUGGAACAAUACAGACUAAAGUUGAGGAUAGCACAUCGUGAAAGAGUUGAUGUUGAACUGGGUUUCAGGUGACAACAGGUGAUUAUUUUGAGCUACAACUCUUUUUUAUUUUCGAGCUAACCGUAAAUAUUGAUGUAUUUUGUAAUGGAAUCUUCAUUGGUGUUACAUGCCUCAACACACAUAAGAGGCCUCUCCAACUAUCUCUUGUUACUCUCCAUAUGUUGCUCCGUAAUAUGGAAAAGAAAAUUGUACAGCUUAAAGCUACUACAAGAAAGACCAUCGAGUUGCAGCUUUCUAACAAAGUAUGUUUCUAACCAACAUGAAAAUAUAUAUCAAUACUAAUACUGUACUAACAUUUAGAUCCAAUGAAUUUAAGGCGAAUGACCAGCUUGGUCAGU
rnacentral:lncRNA from 1 species